GUUAAACUGGGGUGGCGGCGGCGGCUGAUUCCCUGAUGGUGCCAAGGAAGGUGAGAGUACGAAGGGCACCAGCUGGGGAAAUGCUCAGUGCAUAGGAGUAAUAAGCAAAGGAAUUAUAAAUGCACGACCAUACGGACUGCACCAAUGCAAUCUAAGAGGCUGAGGCCACAAAUCAGUACUGCUUUUUAUCUAGGCCUACAUGUCUCAUGCUGCUUGGCACACAUUCGGCUUCUGUUCCAUGCGAAUGGUCCACUCCUGAUCUCUCUAUAUCACUGGUUUUCACACCAGUCCUCAGGCCUACCCAACAGGCCACAUUUGUAGGAUAUCUGAACUGGAGCACAGAUUAAAUACUUAGCAAAUUUGAAAACAUGGUUAUUUUCCCUGCCCUCACCCAAGGUAAUCCUGAAAAAGGCCUGAGGACAGGACUGAAAACCAGUGCUCUAUAUGGAUAAAAUGUGUUUCUCGAGUUAUGUGGUACAGCUCCAUUGUCUUAAUAAAGAAUUGCUUAUUUAAAGAUUAUAUAGAAUUAUACAUUGCAUUUUGAUUAACAGCACUUUUAAAAAAAGCAUUUCCAACUCUUUGUGUUAAACAAAAACAUAAUUCAAUCCAGCUCAUCAUUUGAAAGGUUAGUUUCCCUUACUAUAGACCAUCUGUUGUCUACAUAUUUCAAUCACCUGGAAAGGUGACUCCAAAUAGUGUGCCACACAAUAUGAUACUGUCAGUUGACAGCUCUGCUGUUUUGCCUAGUUCAUUUUAUCGUCAGAUUAAUGGUCCCUGUCCUCAGCUGUCUACGCCAUCUUAGAGAGUGAGAAAAGGGGAGGUAGAGAGGAGAUUUCAGCUGCAGAAGACAGCUAGCGGGAGAAUUAUAUGCAGUUGGGGGCAGGUCUGGCAUGUGCAUUCAGGUAAUUAUGCAAACAAUUCUGUCCUCCAGCAAAGUGUCAAAAGCAAUGCAUUAACUAGGGUCGACGCUGCCUGUCCUGAAGUUGUAGUCCCAAAUUUGCAUGGGAAUAAUUAUUGUGGCCUUAUUGCUCUAUAUUUUUUGCCUCAAAAAUCUGACAGACAUAGGGGAAACAAGUCUACAGAACUAAACAGUGGUUGGUGUUCAUUGGCGCAGAAGAGUAACUGCCAACUAUGUCCUAUCCAUCUAUCAAAACUGCAUGAUGGGUAAUUUCCAGGUGUUUGUAGAGUACUUCUCACUGGUGAAAACCAGGCAAUAAAAAGAUAGUGUGCAAACA